UUUUUUUUUUUUUUUUUUAUAAUAUUUUUUUUUUUUAAUUAUGAAAUAUGUAAUUUUUUUAAAUUUUUUGGAUUAGAAAACCAUUUUCUAUUAUUGACAGGUGAACGCGUUUUUUAUGUUUUCCCUUGUUUUCCUUAGAAGAUGAAAACUAAAGUUUUCUUAGAAAUUAGAAACUGAAAAAUAGAGAAUUAUUUUCCAUAAGUAAACAGGCUCUUAGAUUUCUGUUAUUUAGGAAUUCUAUUAUAAUUAUUUGGGAAUAUUAGGUUUGGGAUGAAUUAGUGGUGGAAGGAGUGAGAAUGGAAAGGGAAAGAUUUGUAAUGGUAUGGAGGGAAUUAGUAUCCAAAGAUUUACAAUUUUUAGAUAUUAAUGUAGAAUUAAUUUUAAACAGAGUUGAAUGGUGAAAAAAGAUCUAUAUGGUCAACUCCAACUAGAUUAGGAUUGAGGUUUAGUUGUGGUUAUUGUUGUACUAAGCUUAUUAUUUUCCUAGCUUGAGUUUGUUUAGUAUUCCUAAU
rnacentral:misc_RNA from 1 species